CUAGCAAUAGCCGUUUGCGAGGUGCUGCAUGGUUGUCGUCAGCUCGUGCCGUGAGGUGUCGGCUUAAGUGCCAUAACGAGCGCAACCCUUGCCACUAGUUACUAACAGGUGAUGCUGAGGACUCUGGUGGGACUGCCAGCGUAAGCUGCGAGGAAGGCGGGGAUGACGUCAAAUCAGCACGGCCCUUACAUCCGGGGCGACACACGUGUUACAAUGGCGUGGACAAAGGGAAGCCACCUGGCGACAGGGAGCGAAUCCCCAAACCACGUCUCAGUUCGGAUCGGAGUCUGCAACCCGACUCCGUGAAGCUGGAUUCGCUAGUAAUCGCGCAUCAGCCAUGGCGCGGUGAAUACGUUCCCGGGCCUUGUACACACCGCCCGUCAAGCCAUGGGAGCCGGGGGUACCUGAAGUCCGUAACCGCGAGGAUCGGCCUAGGGUAAAACUGGUGACUGGGGCUAAGUCGUAACAAGGUAGCCGUACCGGAAGGUGCGGCUGGAUCACCUC
rnacentral:rRNA from 1 species